GGUACAGCGGGACCAGCACCGACGAGAUGAUCUCAUCCUCUUGGAGAAAGUUGAAAGUUGCUCCUUUCCAGUUUUGGUCUCCUAAUGAUUUUUGAGGAAAUUUUUUAUUGAUGAACAGUCCCAAGUCCAUGAUCCCAUCCAAGCUUGCGAUAACAAUGCCUUUGGAAUUGUUGAUGAGAAAACAGACGUUUGUGUAGUCCGAGAGGAGAUGCCCAA
rnacentral:lncRNA from 1 species